UUUUGGUCCGAAUCCGAGCUCC
rnacentral:miRNA from 1 species